rnacentral:lncRNA from 1 species
AUGUUCUGUCUGUCCUAACAUCCCUGACUUCACACUGAGUUGAUUUUAACUGCCUUUACUCGAGCCUUCACUUCACUGUCGACUCCGUUCUGCUCUUUCCGCUGUGGACCACCCCGCUCUGUAGGGCUCUUGCCCAGCACAGCCCAGACGCGGCCUUUGGCUGGGAGUUUGGGCUCUGGGUUUGAGCAUCACCACCGGGAACGCCCGAGCUCUUCCUGCCCUGCCUUCUGCUCAGAAUUCCACAGUCUAAGCAAACAUGUUUGGUCUCUUUGGUCUGGCCGCUGGGGCCAGGCCGACCGCACCGCUGGACUCAUGAGUGGAGGAUGUGCAAGGUUAGAGGGGAAGAAGAAACCAAGUUGCCUCCUUGCUGGCUGCCCCGGGUUGGUACGUAGACACUCAUCACCGUCCUCGGCUACUGGGGGACGGAAGCUUCAAGUCUCCCUGCGGAGGCCUCGCAGGGACCGGUGCUGCGUCUGCAGAAGCGCCAGCUGCGCCCAGGGUUAGUGGGCGGCUCCUCCCUCCAGCAGACUCCCCGCCGUAGGGGUGGGCAGCCUCCGCCUGGGGCCUUGGCUCUUUUCCUGGGCUUGGCCUCUGUCAGCAAUCUAUUUUCUAACUUUUUCCAGUAGGUAACAGGGCCCCAAGAUCCAAGGUUCUGGAAGCAUAAAAGGUUCCCAUGUGGAGAAUCCUGCCUGCCGCUCCUGCCUGCACACCCAACUCCCUGCUGCUCGCCCACCGGUGGGCAGCUUUUGGGGUCCUUCCAGGCCCCCCAGUACAUAGUUGUAUAUUCCAGUUGCAGAUCCUUCUAGUUGUGGCAUGUGGGACCUCAGCAUGGCCUGAGCGGUACCAUGUCCGCGCCCAGGAUCCAAACCAGCAAACCUUGGCCACAGAAGUGAAACGUGCGCACUUAACCACUCGGCCACGGGGCCGGCCCCCUCAAUAAAACUAUUAUUGAUAAAAGAAAAUACAGGUGCACACCCAGGCUGUGAGAGAUAGACUCGGUGGCCCUGGCAGUGAAGGCCGGGGAGACUCCAGGUGGAACAAAGGCCCUAGGACGGGGACGAGCUUGGUGUCUGAGGGAAGGGUCCCUACUGCCAUGUCGAGGAUGCGAGAGGGCCAGACCCAGGGCCCGACGGAGGCAGUGCAGGUGCAGGUGGCACAGGGCAGCAUCACAGGCUGACUUGUACCCUGCAGAUGCCUAUGCUGAAGCUCUGACCCCCAGCACUCGGAACGUGACUGCACUCGGAGAGGGGGCUUUCACGGAGGCGACUGUGGGGGAAUGAGGUCGGAGGCUGGUCCUAAGCCAGGAUGACUGAUGUCCUCAUAAGAAGAGAUCAGGACAGGUGCGCAGACGGACAGCCGCGUGAGGACACGGAGAUGACGGGCCUCUGCCAGCCACAGAGAGAGGCCUCAGGAGACCCCAGCCUGCCGGCACCUCAACCGUGGAUGCGCAGCCUCCAGAAGGGGGAGGAAAGGCGCUCCUGUUGUUUAAGUGCCAGGCGGUGCUGUCGGUGGCACGCCCCAGCACGGCUACAGGGGUGACAGAGAGAUUGAGCAUAUUCUAAUACAUUUGGGAGCAGAAUCGGCAGGAUUUGCUGGUGCAUUGGAUGUGGACGUAGAGGCUGAGGGAAAGGGGACAAACAGUAUGCCUGGGAUUCUUUUUUUUAAAGGUUUUAUUUUUUUCCUUUUUCUCCCCAAAGCCCCCCAGUACACAGUUGUAUGUUCUUCGUUGUGGGUCCUUCUAGUUGUGGCAUGUGGGAUGCUGCCUCAGCAUGGUUUGAUGAGCAGUGCCAUGUCCGCGCCCAGGAUUCGAACCAACGAAACACUGGGCCGCCUGCAGCGGAGCGCGAGAACUUAACCACUCGGCCAUGGGGCCAGCCCCUAUGCCUGGGAUUUUUAUUUGAGCAAGUGGUGGGUGAUGGUGGUGUGCGUCGAUGGGAGAGCCCAGGCAGGAGCAGGUGCUGCUCGCUCGGGGCCCAUCCAGAGUGACACCCUCGGGACUCUCACGUGCCACUGUCAGGAUACCAGGCUAGCACACUUGAAGAGAUGAUUGCCAGGCUAGCCCACCUGCAGAGUUGUUAGGAAGAAAUGCUGAGACUUCACGGAAAGGGAGACGUCUAGCCAGUUGCUCCAGCUCCAGACAUUGUCUGCCUGAAGUCACAUGAACUACCCAGCAGAGUCCCCCCUGAAUUUCUGACCUGCAGAAAGAACGAUGAAUGAAAACUUAUGUCCACACAAAGACCUGGACGUGAAUGUUAACAGCAGCUGUAUUUGUAAUAGCUGGAGACUGGAAACGACUCAGAGUCCUUCAAUGGGUGAAUGGGUCAGUGAACCCGGGCCAUCCACUCCAGGGAAUCCUACUCAGCAGUAAGAAGAAAGGAACUGCUGGCACACACCACCUGGAUGAAGCUCCCAAGAAUUCGCUGAGUGAAAAACGCCGUUGUCUGAAGGCUACACACUGUGGGAUUCCAUCACCGUGACAUUCAUAAAAUGACAAAAUUAUAGAAAUGGAGGGAGAUUGCAAUAUUAUCAUAUAGUUUUGCAAGAUGUUGCCAUCGGGGGAAACCAGGUGAACAUGAGAUCUCUCUGUUUUAUUUCUUACAACUCCAUCUCAGAAUAACAAGUUUAUGGCUGGCUUAGUCCUACACCAUCCUGGGAGGCAGGUGAGACCAGAAGUGGGACUGGUGUCCACACACAUAGCCCCAGGCCCACAGUGUGUCCGCGGCCCCUUUCUGGCAGGGCCUCAUUGCCCAGGGCUCUGACAUCCUUCAGGCACCCUCUGUCUGUCCCACAUCCGCAGCAGCUAUGUGCCUCUCUUUCCUCUCAGUCCCAAAAAGCAUCAGUUAUUGAACACAUUGUCUAUGCCAGAUGGCCAUGUGGCUGCAGAUGAGCAGCCACCAGUGUCUUGCUUGCUGCCCAGGAGCCUCUCCAGUGACUGGAUGGAGAAGACCCAGUCUGGGGGUCAGGUAGAUGGUCUGUGCCCAACACAACCCCGCCCCCCAAUUGCACCCUGCCAGGCUUGGCAGGAGGCCUGGCACUGGGGCUGGCAUCAACUGGGCCCAGAAGGUGGUCAUGGAGGCCUCGCUUACGCUUGUUUCCCAUAAUUCUGGCUGCUUCCAGUCCCUUUCCUCUCCAGACACUGACGCAGAGCCUACCAACACGCUGAGGCCCCCUUUCUCAGCUUCCUGCUCGGCCACCAUAUCUUCUCAUUACCUGUUUACCCAUCUCCCCUUUGGAAUUGCCUUGAGUUCCACGGGUGUGACAUCAACAGGCCUGGAAUGCCAUCCCCAGUCGCCACGCGAUCACCAAGACCACCACUGUCGUGCUUCUCCAUCCUUGCCCCCCCACCCCUUGUCACAGCUGUCUCCUCCCUGGGGUUCCAGGAGGCCCGGGCUGCUUCCUUCCCUUGAAAAUCCAUGUUGUCACAAUUGGGACUGUCGCUCUUUUUGAUGCUCAAAAUAACCUCGAAGACCAGUUGCAGCCAAACAGUCCCCCUGGGCACAGAUGGGGAGACUGAGCCAGGCCUGCUCCUGACCUCCUGACCUCGGGACAGCUGGGCCUGGGGACAGUGGCCCGGGACAGGGCACUGGAGGGUGCAAAGGCGUUCUGGUUGUACUCCUGGUUACACUGGUGUCUCUCAUCGGAAUCGUGGACCCGGGCCUGGGGAGGAGGUCUGGCAGAGCCCUCAAGGCCACUGCGGCAGCAAGGCCCAAAGGCUUCUCUGCUUUUCUGGGCCCCAACUUGGCCAUCGUCUGCCUGGGGUCCCUCCGCCCUUCUCUAGGCGGUCCCUUGGGCCUCUGUGCCCAGCCCCUUUCUCCUGGCCUGUGGUCAGCAUCUCAUGGGGACCUGUGGCAUGUUGACCCCCCAGUGUGAACCCUGGGAGAGGAGGGUGGCGACCACCGCUUUCUCCUGCAUGUGCUGCUGUGUGUUGCAGCCGGACAGGGCUGGUGGCCGCCAUGCAGGCCAGAAGCACCAGUCCUGCCUACUCUGUGCCCUCUGCCUGCAGCCGGCAACUGCCUGGGAAGUCCUGGAGGGAGGACAGGGCUAGCACACCGGCAGUGCAUCUUGCCCCGGGGGCCAUGCACGGCUGCUCACGAGGCUAGAGCGUGGGGCAGCACACGCCCCAGAAGACAGCGGCACCUGGGGGUGGUUGCGAAGAGUCGUGGCUGCAAAAAUGAGUCUGGUAAGAGUUUGUGAGAGGGAAAUGAGACCCAGUGAUUCCUUUUUCUUGUGAGGUCUCACUUGCGUGUCCCCAGUUCCAGCUCCCAAAUGUACUCUAGUGAUGCUUCUUUGGUCUGACCCGGCUCAGCCACCCCUGGUGGGAUGCUGGCCAGAACUGCUCAGGCUUGGUAGCUGGGCCCAUGCCUCCCACAGGCUGCUUGGAGCCACUGGUGAUGUUGAAGAGGCCCUCCUUCCCUGCAAGAGCAGCCUGGGCUCGGGAACUCGGUCUCCUGCCACUCCCCCACCUCGAGGGGACCCUGAUAGUGGUCCUGCCCAUUGGCCUUGGAGCAGCCCCGGGGGCUCCACUUUACAGACAGCCUUUGGAACAGGGAGGGGACAGGCGCCGAUUUCAGCGCAGGACAGGAGGGCACCCCGCUGGAGAGCGACUGCCUUGCCUCGUGUAUUCGUUGUUGGGGCUGGCCUGGGCUGGCCCAGCACCUGAGACGUCUCGCCUCAUCAGUUUGCAGGCAUCAUGGCGUAUGGUGGUGGGUCUGUCUACCACCAACUGGGAGCCCCUCCCCUCCUGAGGGCUUGGUGCGGUUCUGGCCUGUGGUGAGUGUGCAGGGAACACCUGAUGGGGACUGAGGCCAAACAGGAGCAGAGAGGAGCAGGGCAGAGCCGGGCCCUCACCCUGGAGGCGGGAGCAGGAGGCCUCGCCCAGGCAUUGGGGAUGGCAGCCCCUCACCUCCUAAGCAUCCACCGUGAUCCUGGCCCCAGACCUCUGCCCUGUGCCGGGCAGGCAGAGCUCUGCAGAUGGCUCUUCUCUGCAGGCAGAGGAACCCCCGACGACCUGCAGCCAGAAAGAGGGGUGGGAAGGAGAUGAUGAAGGGGAGUGAACUGAGACCCUGAGUCCUUGCCCUCACCCAAGUAUGACCAGUCACCAGAGACCAGGAAACCAGAUGACGGAUGUCUGCUCUGAGGGCUCUGGUCGCCGCCUUCUCACCUGGGCAUGACAGCCAGUGCACCUGUGCCACCAACCCACUCUGCCCUCCCCGGCUGGUGCCCGGGCCCCAAGGCCAGCCUGCACCAGGCAGGGUGCCACCAGCAGGGCAGGUACCAGGGCCACGGAGGGCCUUGGCCUGCGCAGCUGGGCAGUGGGCACCAGAGCCCUCGCUGCGUCCUGUUGAUUCUGGGAGGGUUUUCCGAUCUGUCUGGCCUGAUGCUCGCAUGGCCAGCCGGGGAGCUGGGAUGCAGUGGAGAGCUGGAGCCAGCCUUUGCAACCCCAAGCCCCGGCCCUCGCUGGCAGAGAGGUGGGCCGUGGGGGAGGGGCAGGAGCUUCCCUCCGCUGUCUGGCGGGCCGCCUCCAGAUCUAGGUCAUCGUGCUUCAGCCUCACUCUCUGCCUUCCGCAAGCUGUGUUCCGUGGGAUUUUUUAAAUACCUGAAUGCCUCUGGGAGAAACUCAGUGUUGGUGCCAUUUCGUAUCUGCACCUUCGGCUUUUCGUGACAUUACAGAGCUACAGCGAGGACAGAGAGUCUCAGAGAUGCCAGGACACCUUGAGGAGGUCGCCUCCAGCCCCCUGGUGACCACACGGACGCCCACGAGUCUGUGCUGGAGGGGAGGGAGACAGCACAGGCUACACGCAGCCUCUGGAGAAUUUCUUCACUAAAGGAGGUUUUUUCCUGAAAAACGUCAAGCUAUUUGUAGCCCAAGUCAGUUGAGCAGAUUUUUCUGGGUGUAGCUUAUUUUAUCACUCAUUAACUUCUUUUCUUUAUGAAUUAAAAAGUAGC